GAUGAACGCUGGCGGCGUGCCUAAUACAUGCAAGUCGAGCGAACAGACGAGGAGCUUGCUCCUCUGACGUUAGCGGCGGACGGGUGAGUAACACGUGGAUAACCUACCUAUAAGACUGGGAUAACUUCGGGAAACCGGAGCUAAUACCGGAUAAUAUAUUGAACCGCAUGGUUCAAUAGUGAAAGACGGUUUUGCUGUCACUUAUAGAUGGAUCCGCGCCGCAUUAGCUAGUUGGUAAGGUAACGGCUUACCAAGGCAACGAUGCGUAGCCGACCUGAGAGGGUGAUCGGCCACACUGGAACUGAGACACGGGCCAGACUCCUAAGGGAGGCAGCAGUAGGGAAUCUUCCGCAAUGGGCGAAAGCCUGACGGAGCAACGCCGCGUGAGUGAUGAAGGUCUUCGGAUCGUAAAACUCUGUUAUUAGGGAAGAACAAAUGUGUAAGUAACUAUGCACGUCUUGACGGUACCUAAUCAGAAAGCCACGGCUAACUACGU
rnacentral:rRNA from 1 species